UACGGGGGGGGCAAGCGUUGUUCGGAAUUACUGGGCGUAAAGGGCUCGUAGGCGGCCAACUAAGUCGGAUGUGAAAUCCCCAAGCUUAACUUGGGAACUGCGUCUGAUACUGGAUGGCUUGAAUCCGGGAGAGGGAUGCAGAAUUCCAGGUGUAGCGGUGAAAUGCGUAGAUAUCUGGAGGAAUACCGGUGGCGAAGGCGGCAUCCUGGACCGGCAUUGACGCUGAGGAGCGAAAGCCAGGGAAGCAAACGGG
rnacentral:rRNA from 1 species